rnacentral:rRNA from 1 species
AGAGUUUGAUCCUGGCUCAGGAUGAACGCUAGCGGCAGGCCUAACACAUGCAAGUCGAGGGGUAGAAUUAGCUUGCUAAUUUGAGACCGGCGCACGGGUGCGUAACGCGUAUGCAAUCUACCUUGUACAGGGGGAUAGCCCAGAGAAAUUUGGAUUAAUACCCCAUGGUAUAAUUGAAUCGCAUGGUUUGAUUAUUAAAGUUCCAACGGUACAAGAUGAGCAUGCGUCCCAUUAGCUAGUUGGUGUGGUAACGGCAUACCAAGGCGACGAUGGGUAGGGGUCCUGAGAGGGAGAUCCCCCACACUGGUACUGAGACACGGACCAGACUCCUACGGGAGGCAGCAGUGAGGAAUAUUGGUCAAUGGGCGGAAGACUGAACCAGCCAUGCCGCGUGCAGGAAGACGGUCCUAUGGAUUGUAAACUGCUUUUGUACGGGAAGAAACACUCCUUCGUGAAGGAGCUUGACGGUACCGUAAGAAUAAGGAUCGGCUAACUCCGUGCCAGCAGCCGCGGUAAUACGGAGGAUCCAAGCGUUAUCCGGAAUCAUUGGGUUUAAAGGGUCCGUAGGCGGUUAGAUAAGUCAGUGGUGAAAUCCGGCAGCUUAACUGUCGAACUGCCAUUGAUACUGUUUGACUUGAAUUACUGUGAAGUAACUAGAAUAUGUAGUGUAGCGGUGAAAUGCUUAGAUAUUACAUGGAAUACCAAUUGCGAAGGCAGGUUACUAAUGGUUUAUUGACGCUGAUGGACGAAAGCGUGGGGAGCGAACAGGAUUAGAUACCCUGGUAGUCCACGCUGUAAACGAUGGAUACUAGCUGUUGGGAGUAAUUUCAGUGGCUAAGCGAAAGUGAUAAGUAUCCCACCUGGGGAGUACGAACGCAAGUUUGAAACUCAAAGGAAUUGACGGGGGCCCGCACAAGCGGUGGAGCAUGUGGUUUA